rnacentral:misc_RNA from 1 species
UCCUAGUUAACCUAGGCAGUCUCGCUAGAGUUCCCGCCAUUACGCGCUGGCAACUAACGAUAAGGGUUGCGCUCGUUGCUGGACUUAACCAAACACCUCACGGCACGAGCUGACGACAGCCAUGCAGCACCUAUAUAGAGCCCCUUGCGGGACAUAUCAUCUCUGAUACUUUUCUCUACAUUUCGAGCCCAGGUAAGGUUCUUCGCGUUGCAUCGAAUUAAACCACAUGCUCCACUGCUUGUGCGGGCCCCCGUCAAUUCUUUUGAGUUUCACCCUUGCGAGCGUACUCCUCAGGCGGCAUACUUAAUGCGUUAGCUCCGACACAAAAGGGGUUGAGCCCUCCUACGUCUAGUAUGCAUCGUUUACGGCUAGGACUAC